AUUGAACGCUGGCGGCAGGCCUAAUACAUGCAAGUCGGACGGGAUUUGGGAGCUUGCUCCUAAUGAGAGUGGCGCACGGGUGCGUAACACGUAUGUAACCUACCUUAAUCAGGGGGAUAGCCUCUCGAAAGAGAGAUUAACACCGCAUAAUAUAUUUUUAUGGCAUCGUAGAAAUAUCAAAUAUUUAUAGGAUUAAGAUGGGCAUGCGGAACAUUAGCUAGUUGGUAAGGUAACGGCUUGCCAAGGCUACGAUGUUUAGGGGAUCUGAGAGGAUGACCCCCCACACUGGUACUGAGACACGGACCAGACUCCUACGGGAGGCAGCAGUAAGGAAUAUUGGUCAAUGGGCGCAAGCCUGAACCAGCCAUGCCGCGUGCAGGAAGACGGCCCUAUGGGUUGUGAACUGCUUUUGUACCGGAAUAAACCCUUUUACGUGUAAGAGGCUGAAUGUACGGUAAGAAUAAGGAUCGGCUAACUCCGUGCCAGCCGCCGCCGUAA
rnacentral:rRNA from 1 species